GAUGAACGCUAGCUACAGGCUUAACACAUGCAAGUCGCGGGGCAGCAUGGGGGUUGCUUGCAAUCCCCGAUGGCGACCGGCGCACGGGUGAGUAACGCGUAUCCAACCUGCCCUUCACCACGGGAUAACCCGGCGAAAGUCGGACUAAUACCGUAUGUUGUCCAUUGACGGCAUCCGAUUUGGACGAAAGGCUUGGCUGUGAGGGGUGGGGAUGCGUCCGAUUAGCCAGACGGCGGGGUAACGGCCCACCGUGGCUACGAUCGGUAGGGGUUCUGAGAGGAAGGUCCCCCACACUGGAACUGAGACACGGUCCAGACUCCUACGGGAGGCAGCAGUGAGGAAUAUUGGUCAAUGGGCGUAAGCCUGAACCAGCCAAGUAGCGUGCAGGAUGACGGCCCUAUGGGUGGUAAACUGCUUUUAUGCGGGGAUAAAGUGGCCCACGUGUGGGCUUUUGCAGGUACCGCAUGAAUAAGGACCGGCUAAUUCCGUG
rnacentral:rRNA from 1 species